UACGUAGGGUGCGAGCGUUGUCCGGAAUUAUUGGGCGUAAAGGGCUCGUAGGCGGUUUGUCGCGUCGGGAGUGAAAACCAGGUGCUUAACACCUGGCUUGCUUUCGAUACGGGCAGACUAGAGGUAUGCAGGGGAGAACGGAAUUCCUGGUGUAGCGGUGAAAUGCGCAGAUAUCAGGAGGAACACCGGUGGCGAAGGCGGCUUCCUGGACCAGAACUGACGAUCAGGCACGAAAGCGUGGGGAGCAAACAGG
rnacentral:rRNA from 1 species